rnacentral:rRNA from 1 species
UACAGAGGUCUCACGCGUUGUUCGGAUUCAUUGGGCGUAAAGGGUGUGUAGGUGGCGCCGUAAGUCGGGUGUGAAAUUUCGGAGCUUAACUCCGAAACUGCAUUCGAUACUGCGGUGCUUGAGGACUGGAGAGGAGACUGGAAUUCAUGGUGUAGCAGUGAAAUGCGUAGAGAUCAUGAGGAAGACCAGUGGCGAAGGCGGGUCUCUGGACAGUUCCUGACACUGAGACACGAAGGCCAGGGAGCAAACGGG